GCCACCCCCCAUUUCACUUCACCUCACUUAUUGUCUCUGUACUCAGAGACUGAAAAACCCUGGCACCGCCCUAAAAAUCCUCAUUAUCUUUGGUGAUGGCACAACUCCAAACCAAGCCAAAUUCGUACCACGCAACCCCCAGGCCUUCCCAAGUCCUAUCCCCACAUCUAUUUCCCUAAAAAUCCCAAAGAAAACCCCUAAUUCCAAAUCUAGGAAGUUCAAACUCUAGAUUAUUCUGUUUUUCUAAAUUCGCACAGAGUUCUGGCUCGCUUUGACCUAUAACUUAUGUUAGUUGAUUGCUCUAAAAUGAGCAAUCGAUUGGCGUUGGUUUUAGUUAAUUCCGAGGAUGCCAAAUUUUUGCGAACUCGUCGGAUUCCGGCCAAAUGUCUACUCCCGUCAUAGUUUGUCGAUUCGUUUUGUUUUAUCAAGACAUUCUAGAGUGAAUUGGUAAUUUCUACUCUUUUUUCCACGACUUUGCUAUUUGUAGUGUUUCUGUUCUUUUUUACUUGCUUCAUGUCUUGUUUUUUUAAUAAUGUGAGUUCAUCUUGGUUUGGUAAUUAAAAUUAGGUUGGAACGUAAAGUUUUGAAUUAUUGUUUAUUUUUAUUUUUCUGAAAUUCAUCUUCUUUGUUCGAUAAUUUGCGAUGGUUUGGGUUCUUGAAUUAACUAUGAUCAUCACUGACCCGAUUAAGAGACCCAUUCAUUUAGGGUCUUGGGUUAACUUGACCCAGGGUCGCAUUCUGAAUGUAAAAAUAAGGAUGUCAGGGGUUUUGUUGGCAGUUUGGGGUUUGAGGCAAUCAUUAUCUGUUAGGAGAAAGUUUCUAGAGGGUAAGAUGAGAGCUGGUUUGUUAAGAAUAGGGAUUUCAGAUAUUUCAAAAGGGAAAAAAAGGGUAAAACAACCAAAAAUUCAAGGGUUGAAAGAGGAAAUAAUUAGUUAGGCUAAGGCUACCUUAGGCUACUUAUUUAAGGACCAUGUCAUUCAUUCUCAAGGCAUCCAUUGAUACUCUGAAAAUACAAAAAAGUUCUGCAUUUUUUUGGUUCAAAAAUUGCUAGACAUUGUUCUUUGAUUUCAUUGUUAGCAAUAACUCAAAAAAUUUCGAAGGAUUGCUGGUUCAUUUGGGUUCAGAAAUGGUCUAAGGAAGACGAAAUUGAUAUAUUGAAGUGCCGACCUACUGCUGUUGCUGACUCUCUCCUUUUUUUAUUGAUUCCUAAACACAUUUCCUUUUAGUGUUGAUUGUUGUAUUCAGGUACUACUCUGAAACUUUAAGCAGCAAGUUUGAAUAUUGAAAAUGUGAACAAUUUGGAUUGAUAUGACUGUAUUAUUUCAAUAAAGUAGCUCUUAUGUUUUUAGUUCAUGUAAAUCUUUCUUUGUUUAGAUAGUACUAUGUGAGAUUUGAUUCAGUUGGUGUUUGGUUCUAAAUUAGAUAAAAACUUGUAUAUGAAUCAUGUCAUUAAGGUCUAUUCUCCCUCUUCAUCUCUUUUUUGAUUUUGUUUAAUGUCUAAGGCAUAGACCUCCAUUGAGUUACAAUAUAGAGGGAAUUACUGAAUGUCUAUUUACAUCAUUUCUUUAAGUUUAUCUUUGUUGAAUCUGUGGAAGUUCUAUUAUGGGUUUGAAUUAGCCAAGAUGAGUUUAAUUUGCUUAAUAAUUUUGUCCUUGUUUAACAUAUGAGGUCAUGAGGGUCUUAAAUCAGUUCAUAAUUGAAGUUUAAUUUUUUUUGAAAGCCAAGUUGUAAUUUAGUUAGUACAUGAUACUUGAUUAAGUCAUUUUUGUUGGUCUAAAGAUAAUUCAGCGUGAUUUGGGUUCUAAUGUUUCUUCAGAUUGCAAUGCAUUAAAAUUGCUAAGCUAAUCUUGUGUUCAAGUACCGAUUUCUGUGUUUAAUGUUAAUGUGUGCAUAUAAGGGGAAUUGGACCAAAUUCGUGGAUGGCCCAAAUAAGACCAUGAGUAUAAGCCAGAAUUAUUGGGUUUGAACUCAGGAAUUCGAGUCCAGUAACUCACGUAAAAUUAAUUGGCCCCUGGUAAGCAAAUGUAUUAGGCUUAUCAGAAAGCUAGAUGUCGAAAUGAUUGGGCUCAUUGUUUGCCCAAAUUCUUUCCAGUGAUUAAAGAACCUGGUGGUUUGGAUUUUGGGAUUUUUACAUAUGUAUACCAUAUAACAAACUUUAUUACCAAAAAUGCUUAUUAUUUGAUAUUUAUCCGCCUAAACCAUAGUUUGUCUACAAAAAUUGUACCAAACCAAAAAUAGGUGAAUUCUACCCUAAAAAAGCGCCCAUUUUGUAUCAAUCGUAUUUAAUGGUGAUUCUAUCAGCAUUAAUUUCGAGUUUUAAAACGGACGAAAAUCCUACAGCAGCGUGAUUCUCUCAUUCUGUACCGGAAAUAUAUCUUUCAUCUGAUUCUCAGCUACAAUUCAAAAAAGCACGAGAAUCUCCCGCAAUCAAAUUGUAGAAAUGCAAAAUUGUUGAAUACAGUUCUUCGUCGACAUCAGUACAAAAANNNNNNNNNNNNNNNNNNNNNNNNNNNNNNNNNNNNNNNNNNNNNNNNNNNNNNNNNNNNNNNNNNNNNNNNNNNNNNNNNNNNNNNNNNNNNNNNNNNNNNNNNNNNNNNNNNNNNNNNNNNNNNNNNNNNNNNNNNNNNNCUCUUCGUCUGUUUUUCUAUCAACUACACGAAAUUAUGUCAAAAAUCCCAAUAAUGCUAAAAUCAAAUGGUUAUUGGGAUAACUAUGGCAGAUUCUGAGAUUUUGAAGUUGAUGCCAUUUUGGUAGAUGAUAAUGCAAGCUACGGAAUUCUGCUUUCUACAAUUGCAAAACAAUUAUCGAUUGAUAUAUCGGAUAAAAUUGUAGAAAUAAAAUACAUUGUGAAUGACAAUUGUCCUCCAUUAGAGAUUAGGAAUGAUAUGGGGGUUCGUGUAUAUAUGGAAACGACAAAGGAGAAUAAAAACUUAGGUUCGUAUCCCUUAUAUAUUAGUGUAAGAGAUUUCAAUAUGGAAUUGACAAUCACCAAUGAAAGCAUCAGUACAUGUAUGUUUGAUUCGACAUUGCUGAGAGUUUUUUUGUUACCUAGUUAUCUACAAUUUAACGACAUUUCUCUAUAAUUAAACUACAAUUAUGAUAUAGGACUGGAAAGGACAAAGCGAUGUUGCUUUCAAAUUUAUUUACAUAGUUACUACAUUUGUGAAUUUAUUGUCUCCAAGUUCUUCAGGAUCCCUAAGGUUAGUAGAAAUUCCAUCCUCACCAGCUAUAGAGGAAUAUCAAAGUGAAAUAAUAAUUGAAUCUACGCNNNN
rnacentral:lncRNA from 1 species